UGCACAUCAUAUGAGUAUUUAUGCACAUCAUAUAAGUGUAUUUGCACAUCAUAUAGAGAUGUUUGGACAUCAUAUAUAGAUACUUGCACAUAAUAUAAGCAUAUUUGCACGUCAUAUAAAGGUGUUUGCACAUCAUACAAUGACAAGUGCACAUCAUGUAAAGGUAAAUGCACAUCAUAUAAUGACAAGUGCACAUCAUAUAAAGGUAAAUGCACAUCAUAUAAUGAAAAUGGU
rnacentral:lncRNA from 1 species